rnacentral:rRNA from 1 species
CCUACGGGAGGCAGCAGUAAGGAAUAUUGGUCAAUGGACGAAAGUCUGAACCAGCCAUGCCGCGUGAAGGAUUAAGGCCCUCUGGGUUGUAAACUUCUUUUAUCUGGGACGAAAAAAGGGUAUUCUUACUCACUUGACGGUACCAGAGGAAUAAGCACCGGCUAACUCCGUGCCAGCAGCCGCGGUAAUACGGAGGGUGCAAGCGUUAUCCGGAUUCACUGGGUUUAAAGGGUGCGUAGGUGGAUAUUUAAGUCAGUGGUGAAAUCUCCGAGCUUAACUCGGAAACUGCCAUUGAUACUAUUUAUCUUGAAUGCCCUGGAGGUAAGCGGAAUAUGUCAUGUAGCGGUGAAAUGCUUAGAUAUGACAUAGAACACCAAUUGCGAAGGCAGCUUACUACGGGGUGAUUGACACUGAGGCACGAAAGCGUGGGGAUCAAACAGGAUUAGAUACCCUGGUAGUCCACGCCCUAAACGAUGAUUACUCGACAUACGCGAUACACUGUGUGUGUCUGAGCGAAAGCAUUAAGUAAUCCACCUGGGAAGUACGACCGCAAGGUUGAAACUCAAAUGAAUUGACGGGGA